rnacentral:rRNA from 1 species
AGCUCCAAUAGCGUAUAUUAAAGUUGUUGCAGUUAAAAAGCUCGUAGUCUGAGUUUGUUUGAAAGGGAUGGAUUUAUUGGGUUGAGUGUUUAUUCAUUCUUCUCUGCCCCCUUUUGAAGCAGUCAUUUAAUGGCUGUUACCUUCGGAGGACCAUUUGUUUCUCAUUCAUUUGAGGAAUGAAAUUAUUGGUAUUCCGAUAGUUUACUUUGAGAAAAAUAGAGUGUUCAAAGCGGGCGAGUUAUUUUGCCACUGAAUACAUUAGCAUGGGAUAAUAGAAUAGGACAUUUCUUGAGUUCUAUUUUGUUGGUUCAAAGAACUCGGUGUAAUGAUCAACAGGAACAGUUGGGGACAUUGAUAUUCCGUGGCUAGAGGUGAAAUUCUUGGAUUCACGGAAGAUCCA